UUCGUUCUCCUCCUGCCCACGAGUCCGCCGCCUCGUGUUCUCUUCCUCUCGCGUCUCUCUCCUGCCCCCACUCCUCGGCGGCCAGCUCCCGUGGGCCAGUCGCCGUGCGGCCGUCUCCUCCGCGGACUGCUCCCCUUCGCCAAGUCCCCAACUCCCCAUCCACCUCCGGCCAGCCAUGGACACCAACUCCCGAUCCAACUAGUGUUUGUGCUGUGCUACUUGCCUACUCGUGAGUACCUGAUGGGGAUGGAUGAACGAUGAUGAAUGUGUGCAGUGUCCUGUGAUGUUCUAUUAGCGCUUGCAGCUUUUAUUUUCGAUUUUCUUAUUUUUGUUCCUCUCCUGACGGUUGUUUAUUCUCGUCUGGUUUGAGC
rnacentral:lncRNA from 1 species